GCGGCAGUAGUCUAGCGGUAGGACACUGGCUUCCCAAGCCUGUAACCCGGGUUCGAGCCCCGGCUGCCGCA
rnacentral:tRNA from 3 species